rnacentral:rRNA from 1 species
GACGUAGGGCGCGAGCGUUGUCCGGAUUUAUUGGGCGUAAAGAGCUCGUAGGCGGCUUGUCGCGUCGACUGUGAAAACCCAUGGCUCAACCAUGCGGUCUGCAGUCGAUACGGGCAGGCUAGAAUCGGUAGGGGAGACUGGAAUUCCUGGUGUAGCGGUGAAAUGCGCAGAUAUCAGGAGGAACACCCGGUGGCGAAGGCGGUCUCUGGGCCGAUAUUGACGCUGAGGAGCGAAGCGUGGGGAGCGAACAGG